CAGCCGCCACGGGAAUACGGAGGGGGCUAGCGUUGUUCGGAAUUACUGGGCGUAAAGCGCACGUAGGCGGCUUGGUAAGUUAGAGGUGAAAGCCCGGAGCUCAACUCCGGAAUUGCCUUUAAGACUGCCGAGCUAGUAGGUGAGAGAGGUAAGUGGAAUUCCGAGUGUAGAGGUGAAAUUCGUAGAUAUUCGGAAGAACACCAGUGGCGAAGGCGGCUUACUGGCUCAUUCUAGACGCUGAGGUGCGAAAGCGUGGGGAGCAAACAGGAUUAGAUACCCCCGUAGUCCCUGUCUCUUAUAC
rnacentral:rRNA from 1 species